rnacentral:tRNA from 1 species
GGAGAGUUGUCCGAGUGGUCGAAGGAGCACGCCUGGAAAGUGUGUAUACUCCAAAAGGGUAUCGAGAGUUCGAAUCUCUCACUCUCCGCCA